rnacentral:rRNA from 1 species
AUUGAACGCUGGCGGCAGGCCUAACACAUGCAAGUCGAACGAGUGGCGGACGGGUGAGUAAUGUCUGGGAAACUGCCUGAUGGAGGGGGAUAACGACUGGAAACGGUAGCUAAUACCGCAUACCAUCAGAUGUGCCAAGAUGGGAUUAGCUAGUAGGUGGGGUAACGGCUCACCAAGGCGAAGAUCCCUAGCUGGUCUGAGAGGAUGACCAGCCACCCUGGAACUGAGACACGGUCCAGACUCCUACGGGAGGCAGCAGUGGUGAAUAUUGCACAAUGGGCGCAAGCCUGAUGCAGUCAUUCCGCGUGUAUGAAGAAGGCCUUCGGGUUGUAAAGUACUUUCAGCGGGGAGGCGUUACCCGCAGAAGAAGCACCGGCUAACUCCGUGCCAGCAGCCGCGGUAAUUC